UACAGAGGGGGCAAGCGUUGUUCGGAAUUACUGGGCGUAAAGGGCGCGUAGGCGGCCUGUUAAGUCGAACGUAAAAUCCCCGGGCUCAACCCGGGAACUGCGUCCGAUACUGGCAGGCUUGAAUUCGGGAGAGGGAUGCGGAAUUCCAGGUGUAGCGGUGAAAUGCGUAGAUAUCUGGAGGAACACCGGUGGCGAAGGCGGCAUCCUGGACCGAGAUUGACGCUGAGGCGCGAAAGCCAGGGGAGCAAACGGG
rnacentral:rRNA from 1 species